CCAGGAAGCACAGACAUUUAGAAGGUCCCCGUACAACUCAUGCAAGUAUUUUAUUAACAACAAUUUCUAUUCACAUUUAGAGAGUACUUGUGGACAAAAAUUCCAUGGAGCUUAUGGAAAAUAAGCAAGAUUGUCAGUCCUCAUGCACACAAUGUGCUCAGGUAAAGAAGGAGCUGACCUGCUGUGGCUGAUUUCAAUGGGGAAUUAGCAGACCUCGGUGUAUAAGUCAUUCAAACAAUACCUGGCUCACCAUCAAAGGUAGGUGAGGAGGGGACAGGAAGGGCAAGAGUGGCAACAUUAGACACCAGAGUAACUAAUAAAGGUCUCAAAGGGGGAAUUUCCUUUGUUCCAAAGAAAAAUCUGGCUGAUCGUGACAGCUCCUACGAAUUUACAGUAGGUGGAGGCUCAUGCCUCCCCUGCACCAAUACAAGUUUUAUUCAAGAUGAUCAGCAGAAAAAAA